UACCAGUUAGGCACAGCGGAGCCUCAUGAUGGCAAUUGCUCACGGCUCCCCACAGUUCUGGCCUAUGGGUCCAUUGCUUUGGAACUGAGGGGAGGCAGAAACAUCAUGUGAUGACGCUUUAUGGUGAUCAGGAAAGGCAGCACAUCAUGGACAGGAAGUCCUUCACAGAGCAUCUCACUCAGAGUGAACCACUUCCUCCAUAUUGCCUCAAUUCCUGAAGUUCCCAUACCUUCCAAAAUAGUGCCACCAGCUGGGGACCAUGUCUUGAACCAAUGAGCCUGUGGGGAUUAUUUAAUAUUCAAAGCCACAGCAUAUUCUAUGGAAUAUAGAUUCAAUAAGGACAGAAACCAGAUUGGCUAGUUUGAUAUCAUGUACUCCUGAAAUGAAGAGAGAAAUUGACUUUGGAGACUGGAACUCUCUGUGUGGUUUACAUCUUAUCUUUUGCUAGUCUGUCCAUGGCGACUGGAGGCAGUUGAAUUGGAUUCUAUUCUCUAAUUGUGCUGAAUAACGAAUCUGAGUAGAGACUCAUUUAGAUCCAUCCCUGGAGCAUUCUAGGAACCUCCAACCUUGCUACAUAGACAUGGACUGUGGGAUUGGAGAGUUCAGGAAGAGUUACCUUUUCCUCCUGAGCAGAAACUGAAUACUCACUAAUUUCUAUGCUCUUCUCUUGGGCAUAUAUGAUCAGAACACACAUUCUAUCAUUAGAGUACUGGUACCCAACUCACAUGUGGAGGGUAUCAGCACAGUAGUAGAUGCUAUGAGAUUUUGAGCAACAUGAAAAAUCUAUGGGAGACACCAUCAUUAAGCACAAAUAAGUAUUGGUUGAUUUUCUAUUUUGUGGCUUCCUCAAAUAACCAUAGCCUAUCUCUCUGCCUUAUUAGUAAGCUCCAAGAAACCAAUCUUCACCCAUAUUCUACCCUAACAUUUAUUUAGCUGUUUGAUCUUGGGCAAGUUACUUAAGUUCCCUGGGACUUGACCUCUUCCUGCUUAAAGCAGGGAUCAGAACUUUCAUGUAGUCAGAGCUUGCUAAGCCUUUUCUGUAUCUCACUUGACAGACUGCUUGCCUAGAACACAUGGGUCCAUGACCUUAGCUUAUUGAAAGAGGGCUUGUGUAGCAUUCACAGGAUUCUAUUUUAAAUCCUUACUACCAAAUGCACCACCACCAGCAGCAGCAGCACCAUAAAUACCACCCUUCCUCCCCCUACCAUCCCAUUGCCUCCCCAAUUGUCAUCACCACCAUCCCUCUGUCACCACUAGCAUUGGCACCACUCCCACCAUCCCUAGCACCCCAUAAAACCAGGUAUGGUGGAGCCUGGCAAUGAUCUCAGCAAUUUAGGGAUUAAGGCAGAAGGAUCAGAAAUUCAAAGUCAUCCUGAGCUACAUAUAAAGUUUGAGAUAGCCUAGGCUACGUAAGACCCCCAUCUCAACAAAACAAAACACCCUUCUUCCCAAGAAACCUCAUAAGCCUUUUCUGUAUUAUAACCCUGAGAUCAGUGAACUCAGACUUCUGAGUUUGUGAUUGGAGUGUCAGGAGUAUUCUCUUCUGGUCCUGGCAUGUAAAGAGCGCCCGCAUGUAAAGAGCUUGGAAAACAUCUGCUGGAGUAGAUAGAAUUCUUCAGAGCUCUGACGGUCAUCCAGAGUCUGUUUCUUAUAGGUCAGCAUUGCUGAGUGUACAGAGCUGCUGUUAGGGAAAUGGCUCAGACAUUUAAGUCAGAAGGAGCCAAUGUGUUUGCCAUUUUGAGUUCUUUCUCCUUCCUCUCUUCUACUCUUCUGCUUCAAGAUGCUCAGGUAUGUGGUUUACCUCAAUUGCUCUUUAUCCACUUACAGUUUGAGUCUGUUCUAGGUUAGAUCUUGAAUGUCCCCCAAAGAUCCAAUGUUAAAGGUCAAGCUGGUACUGUUGGGAGAAAGUGGCAUGCUUAAGAAGAGGGCCAUAGUUGAAGCCUACUAGAUCUUUGGGAGGAGGUCGUUAAAGGAAAUUAUAGGAUCCUGAUGCCUUUCUCUUCUGUCUUUUGCUCUCAGGCCAUGGUGAGGUCUACUGCAGGCUUCCUCAUCGAGGUCCACAGGUUCAAAUCAACAGAGACAACUAAUGAACCAAAGUUCCAAAAUUGAAAACUACAAUAAAUCUUGUGGAAGCCACAAUACCAGUCUGCAUGAGGCCGGCUGCUGCAGAGGUCACGUGGGGUCUCUAGCUCCUUUGGCUCAUCUUUUUGACUGAGGCACAGGAACGUGAACCUUUAUCAGGUCUAAGAUAGCUGAGAGAACCAGGAACAACUGUCUCCCUCCACCACUUCUUUCUGAGUGUCUUGAAGAGUUGGAGAGGCAACUUAGUCAUUAAAGGGGUCAAAAUUUGUAAUGUGGACAAAACCUGAGAGGGCUUUGCUCCUGGUUCCCAAGGUGUCAAUAAUCACAGCAAGCAAGUGGGCAGUGCGGAGCCGAGCAGUUCACACCGUGGAAGACAAGGAAACCGGAAAGAGCUAUGCAGGUGCUCAGAUCUUUUUCUUCCGUUACAGCCUGUGUUGGUUCCUCUUAUGUUGCCAUGAUAAAAACACUGUGACCAUAAUCAA